rnacentral:rRNA from 1 species
CUGGUAGUCCACGCCGUAAACGAUGUCGACUUGGAGGCUGUUCCCUUGAGGAGUGGCUUCCGGAGCUAACGCGUUAAGUCGACCGCCUGGGGAGUACGGCCGCAAGGUUAAAACUCAAAUGAAUUGACGGGGGCCCGCACAAGCGGUGGAGCAUGUGGUUUAAUUCGAUGCAACGCGAAGAACCUUACCUACUCUUGACAUCCAGAGAACUUUCCAGAGAUGGAUUGGUGCCUUCGGGAACUCUGAGACAGGUGCUGCAUGGCUGUCGUCAGCUCGUGUUGUGAAAUGUUGGGUUAAGUCCCGCAACGAGCGCAACCCUUAUCCUUUGUUGCCAGCGAUUCGGUCGGGAACUCAAAGGAGACUGCCGGUGAUAAACCGGAGGAAGGUGGGGAUGACGUCAAGUCAUCAUGGCCCUUACGAGUAGGGCUACACACGUGCUACAAUGGCGCAUACAAAGAGAAGCGACCUCGCGAGAGCAAGCGGACCUCAUAAAGUGCGUCGUAGUCCGGAUCGGAGUCUGCAACUCGACUCCGUGAAGUCGGAAUCGCUAGUAAUCGUGGAUCAGAAUGCCACGGUGAAUACGUUCCCGGGCCUUGUACACACCGCCCGUCACACCAUGGGAGUGGGUUGCAAAAGAAGUAGGUAGCUUAACCUUCGGGAGGGCGCUUACCACUUUGUGAUUCAUGACUGGGGUGAAGUCGUAACAAGGUAUC